rnacentral:rRNA from 1 species
CAACAAAAGAGUUUGAUCCUGGCUCAGGAUGAACGCUGGCGGGAUGCCUAACACAUGCAAGUCGAGCGGCAGCACUUCGGGUGGCGAGCGGCGAACGGCUGAGGAACACGUUGGUACCUCCCCCGAACUCAGGGAUAAGCCCGAGAAAUCGGGUCUAAUACCGGAUGCCCCAGUAAUGGGAAAGAUUUAUCGGUUCGGGAAGGGCCUGCGGCGUAUCAGCUUGUUGGUGAGGUAACGGCUCACCAAGGCUAUGACGCGUAUCUGGUGUGAGAGCACGACCAGACAGAGUGGGACUGAGACACGGCCCACACUCCUACGGGAGGCAGCAGUGAGGAAUUUUCCACAAUGGGCGAAAGCCUGAUGGAGCAAUCCCGCGUGCAGGAUGACACCUUUCGGGGCGUAAACUGCUUUUCUGAGGGAAGAAAUUUUGACGGUACCUCAGGAAUAAAGGGCGGCUAAUUCCGUGCCAGCAGCCGCGGUAAUACGGAAGCCCUAAGCGUUAUCCGGAAUCAUUGGGCGUAAAGCGUUCGAAGGCGGACCGGUCAGUUUGAUGUUAAAUGCCUGCGGCUCAACCGAGGUUUCGUAUCAAAUACUGCCGGACUAGAGGAAUGCAGAGGCAACUAGAAUUCCCAUUGUAGGGGUUAAAUCCGUAGAUAAUGGGAGGAAUACCAAAAGCGAAAGCAGGUUGCUGGGCAUUUCCUGACGCUGCGCGAACGAAAGCGUGGGGAGCGAAAGGGAUUAGAUACCCCUGUAGUCCACGCCGUAAACGAUGAUCACUCGGUGUACGCCGGUUCAAUCCCGGUGUGUGCCUAAGCUAACGCAUUAAGUGAUCCGCCUGUGGAGUACGGCCGCAAGGCUAAAACAUAAAGGAAUAGACGGGGAUCCACACAAGCGGUGGAGCAUCUGGUUUAAUUCGAUAGCGCGCGAGGAACCUUACCAGGGUUUGACAUCCCCAGAAUCUUGCAGAGAUGCGAGAGUGCCUUCGGGAACUGGGUGACAGGUGCUGCAUGGUUGUCGUCAGCUCGUGCCUUGAGGUGUGCGGUUAAGUCCGUAAACGAGCGCAACCCUCGUCGUGCGUUGUAUUUUUCGCGCGAGACUGCCCGUUUUACGCGGGAGGAAGGUGAGGAUGACGUCAAAUCAGCAUGGCCCUUAUGUCCUGGGCGACACAGAUGCUACAAUGGUCGGUACAAAGGGUAGCCAAGCCGCGAGGUGGAGCCAAUCCCAAAAAGCCGAUCUCAGUUCGGAUUGGAGUCUGCAACUCGACUCCAUGAAGUUGGAAUCGCUAGUAACCGUAGAUCAGCCACGCUACGGUGAAUACGUUCCUGGAUCUUGUACUCACCGCCCGUCAAGUCAUGAAAGAUGGGGGCGCCCGAAGCGGUGUUAUCCUUUUAGGAGCAUCACCACGGUGAAACCAUUGAUUGGGACUAAGUCGUAACAAGGUAUCCGUAGGGGAAUCUGCGGAUGGACCACUUCCUAA